UACGAAGGGGGCUAGCGUUGUUCGGAUUUACUGGGCGUAAAGCGCACGUAGGCGGAUCGUUAAGUCGGGGGUGAAAUCCUGGAGCUCAACUCCAGAACUGCCUUCGAUAACUGGCGAUCUUGAGUCCGGAAGAGGUGAGUGGAACUCCUAGUGUAGAGGUGGAAUUCGUAGAUAUCGGAAGGAACACCAGUGGCGAAAGCGGCUUCCUGGUCCAGCACCGACGUCAGGCACGAAAGCGUGGGGAGCAAACAGGG
rnacentral:rRNA from 1 species